rnacentral:rRNA from 1 species
AUUGAACGCUGGCGGAAUGCUUUACACAUGCAAGUCGAACGGCAGCACGGACUUCGGUCUGGUGGCGAGUGGCGAACGGGUGAGUAAUGUAUCGGAACGUGCCCAGUCGUGGGGGAUAACGUAGUGAAAAUUACGCUAAUACCGCAUACGACCCAUGGAUGAAAGCGGGGGAUCGCAAGACCUCGCGCGAUUGGACCGGCCGAUAUCAGAUUAGGUAGUUGGUGGGGUAAAGGCCCACCAAGCCAACGAUCUGUAGCUGGUCUGAGAGGACGACCAGCCACACUGGAACUGAGACACGGUCCAGACUCCUACGGGAGGCAGCAGUGGGGAAUUUUGGACAAUGGGCGAAAGCCUGAUCCAGCCAUUCCGCGUGCAGGAUGAAGGCCCUCGGGUUGUAAACUGCUUUUGUACAGAACGAAAAGGUUUCUACUAAUACUAGGAGCUCAUGACGGUACUGUAAGAAUAAGCACCGGCUAACUACGUGCCAGCAGCCGCCGUAA